ensembl:lncRNA
CUAAAGGCGUACAUGAAUUGUUACCCACGCUAGGCCUAUGCUAUAUACCAACAAGCCUUGUUAUAACAAUGUUGAUGCAAAACAUGUUUAAAUGUUUCAUGGAGUUGGAGAGAGGCAGGUUUCACCUGCAAUAUAUAAAUAAUUAAUCAGUGUUGCCCAUGGCUGGAGAGGUAUCAACUGUGUGUGGUUGUGUGUGUGUGUGUUUGUGUCACAUUGUUUGUGACAUUGCUUGUUUUUUUUUGUGUGUUUAUGUCUGUGUUUGACGAAAGGUAUUGCACAACAGAUGCUUUACCUGCUGUCACAAGUCUUUCUUUCAGGGGUGUGUGACCUGGGAUGGGCAGAUUCCACCUGUAGCCUUCAGCACUAUUUUGACAAAAACCGCUCAAACGACAUGGUUAAUGCAGUGUUUUGGAAUUCAUUCAAAUGCUGUCUUAACUCUUGAGAAGGACAUUUGGAAUAUUUUUACAUAAUCAGGUUUUGGGGAAAAAAAAGUACUGGUGCUUCAGACGGGUUAACAUCGCAUCAGAGUGCUCAAGGAGGCCAAGGACGAGUUAUUCUUUUAAAGGGCUCCGUGCACAUUCCACUUGGAAAUUCCUGAGAAAACUGGAACAGAAUCAACAGCGGGGCGUUAUGUCUCAGACUCCCGAGGUGACCAGUCCUGGUGUCCUGGGCCGAAUCGGGAGCUGGUUCUCCCCUUGGAGAGAGAGGGGGAACCCCGGCAGUUCCAGUAACGAUGCAUCUAACUCCCCAUCGGACGGCCAGAGCCCCAAGUCAGAGGAACAGGGGGCCAAGGGGGAGCCUGUGAAAAGAGGGGAAAGGCAAGAGGAGGGACAAAAUUCCCAGUCUUCCAAGCGGAAUCUCUCUAAGGAUUUUAAGAAGACAGACGCCCGACAGUCUACCCACAGGGACAGCCUUCCCUCCGCAACCAGCAGCCACAGAGAGCCCAGAGGAGGAGGUCCUGGGGACAAGGAGGAGUGGCUGAUUGCCUCUCGAGUAGAGGAGAGGGAGGAGGCUCAGAGACGGAGCAGUGGAGCGUGCCAGAAUCCUGCCCCGGAGAGGAAUUCCGGCCCUCCAACACGUGUGCUUUCAUCUUGCCUUGAAAAGGGAGCGGCCUGUGAGGACUCUGACCGUGGGGAACACACCCAGGCCCUGCUCCGAGCCCCCAUCCAGGGAGGCAAGAGGCUGAAUGUGUACCUGGAGGAGACCAGUGUGACCCAGAUCGGAACUGACGCCCAGACAAAGAACCGGGUUCUCCAAACCACCACCACCCGCGUGAAGACAAACAUCCAGGGUGUCUCCAGAGCAAAGUCAUACAAGAGUGUUGACCUGUCAUCAGAGAACAUCAAGAGGACUGAGAAGCACACCCCCGGGGUCAAAUGUCAUAGCGGUUACGGCGCGCCGGUGGGAGUGCUGCGUAAGUCUCCAACAGAGACACAGAAUAGCUCACAGAUAAUCCCUGAGAAGUCAGUCACAGACAGAGUCACAGACAGAGUCACAGACAGAGUCACAGACAGAGUCACAGACACAAUGGGGAAAAAGAGGCGCUCCAGGAAGAGCUCCUCUGGAGACGGAGGAACCAGUUCUCAGGAGAACACACCCACCAAACUCCAGCCUGCUUCUACAUCAUCAGUCUACAACCUACCCACGCCCGGAGAUUCCACCCAUUUCUCCUCCAUUAAAGACAAACAGGCCUCAGGCAUAUCGCAGAGGGCCAAUAGUCCCUCCGUCUGUGGCCGGGGGCAAGACAACCCCCAGCAGGACCAAGACCAGCCAGUACACGCCACCCUGGUGACAGUGGUGGACGGGGAAGGGGACGUGGACUUGUCCAAUGACGCCAGCCCGUGCCGGGUCGAGAGGCGCACAGAGAGUGCGGAGUCCAAACGGCGGAGCAUGAAAGUGUCCCAUGGCGAGGUGAAGUUCUUUGCAAAGAAAGUGGUUGUCGACCCGGAGCAGCCUCUGAGUCCAGUGGAAGAUGGUGGACACGUAGCCCCGGGCUUUAGCAAUGAAAGAAUGGAAACAAGAAAGGAUUCAGAGGGAAUGGAUGAGGGGAAUCUGAAACCAGAGCAGAGGUGAGUGGUUUUACCUGAAUUACUAAAUUUUUACCUGAUCAAUACAAGUACCUAUGGUACUUUGUGAUUAAACAUUAUAGAACUCAAAUAUGCUAUUUAAAUACCUAAAAUACCAGUUUAGAGCCUGGGGAAAAGAUUCUUGAGUCAAAUAAUGAUAUUAUACCCAUAGGGGGAAAGCUAUCUUUGAGGUGUAUCACAAUAUCUCCUACGUUUGUUGGCAUUCCAAC